CUAUACAUGCAAGUCGAACGAACUCUGGUAUUGAUUGGUGCUUGCAUCAUGAUUUACAUUUGAGUGAGUGGCGAACUGGUGAGUAACACGUGGGAAACCUGCCCAGAAGCGGGGGAUAACACCUGGAAACAGAUGCUAAUACCGCAUAACAACUUGGACCGCAUGGUCCGAGUUUGAAAGAUGGCUUCGGCUAUCACUUUUGGAUGGUCCCGCGGCGUAUUAGCUAGAUGGUGGGGUAACGGCUCACCAUGGCAAUGAUACGUAGCCGACCUGAGAGGGUAAUCGGCCACAUUGGGACUGAGACACGGCCCAAACUCCUACG
rnacentral:rRNA from 2 species